GACGAACCGUGCGAACGUUGUUCGGAAUCACUGGGCUUAAAGGGCGCGUAGGCGGCUCAUCAAGUCCGGGGUGAAAGCCUCCAGCUUAACUGGAGAAGUGCCUUGGAUACUGGUGAUCUCGAGGGAGGUAGGGGCAUGCGGAACUUCCGGUGGAGCGGUGAAAUGCGUAGAUAUCGGAAGGAACGCCGGUGGCGAAAGCGGCGUGCUGGACCUCUUCUGACGCUGAGGCGCGAAAGCCAGGGGAGCAAACGGG
rnacentral:rRNA from 1 species